GGUUCAUAGGGAAAAUAUCCCACACCACUAAGCGCACAAGUCUCUUUGACGAACCAAAAGACCGAAUUGAAUAGAAAAUAAAGUUAAGGGGUCAAAUUUAAAAAAAAAAUAAAGAACUAAAUUAAAUGAUCUAAGAAACACGGAAGGGCCAGGGGAUAAAUAUCCCAUUUAAUGGAAAUGCACAGGCCCCUCCUUCCCAAACGCCGUUCGCUUCUGUUUUAUAAACAAAUUUUGCUUAUUUUUUACUUCACCCCUUUCCUUUUUCUUUUUUAAAAAAUUUACAGAGCCUACCUCCCCAUUUUUUCUUCUUUUCCUCUGCUAGGUUUUCAAAGCCUAGCUUGCGCUGAAAUAAAAAGAAGCAAAAUAGGUUUUCAAUCUUUCUCUGCUAGGGCAAAAGAGUUAGCCCAUCCUUGCAGCUGCUCCGUUGUGCGCACACCAACGAUGGCGGCCCCCAAAAAAAUCAACGGUUCUGCUCUCUGUAUGCUCUUGUCCUUGCUACUGUUCUAUCACUGUUUCAGCCUCUGUUAUGGCUGCUACUUUCGUUUCUUUUUUGCUCUCUUUGCAAGCUUUGAAGGAGGUGAUGGGAUGGAGCAGAGGAGUCAAGCCUCGGGGCGAAGAGCGGGUGGUGCGCCCGAGGAGGAACGGCGACAGCUCUUAGGCUAGGGUUUCUUUUUUUUUUUUUGCUGAAAGUUAAAGUUAUGAGCUUUUGGGCUAGGUUUAGUUUGGGUUUGGGUGAUUUUUAAGAUUGGGUUCAAUUUCAUCAAUUGGGCCGGGCGAAUUUGGGCCUGUACACGUAUAACUAUUGCUCUUUUUCCAUUUAUUUUGUUAUAUAAUACCUAAUUUUAAGUAUUUGUGCGGGAUCAA